rnacentral:rRNA from 2 species
UACGAAGGGGGCUAGCGUUGUUCGGAAUCACUGGGCGUAAAGCGCGCGUAGGCGGAUAUGUAAGUCAGAGGUGAAAGCCCAGGGCCUAACCUUGGAACUGCCUUUGAAACUACAUAUCUAGAGACUCGGAGGGGAUAGCGGAAUUCCAAAUGUAGGGGUGAAAUCCGUAGAUAUUUGGAGGAACACCGGUGGCGAAGGCGGCUAUCUGGACGAGUACUGACGCUGAGGUGCGAAAGCGUGGGGAGCAAACAGG